UACGUAGGGUGCAAGCGUUGUCCGGAAUUAUUGGGCGUAAAGAGCUCGUAGGCGGUUCGUCGCGUCGGCUGUGAAAUCCCGAGGCUCAACCUCGGGUCUGCAGUCGAUACGGGCGGACUGGAGUACUGCAGGGGAGACUGGAAUUCCUGGUGUAGCGGUGAAAUGCGCAGAUAUCUGGAGGAACACCGGUGGCGAAGGCGGCGUUCUGGACUGCAACUGACACUGAGGAACGAAAGCCAGGGGAGCAAACGGG
rnacentral:rRNA from 1 species